rnacentral:rRNA from 1 species
UACGUAGGGUGCGAGCGUUGUCCGGAAUUAUUGGGCGUAAAGAGCUUGUAGGCGGUCUGUCGCGUCUGCUGUGAAAAUCCGGGGCUCAACCCCGGACUUGCAGUGGGUACGGGCAGACUAGAGUGUGGUAGGGGGAGACUGGAAUUCCUGGUGUAGCGGUGAAAUGCGCAGAUAUCAGGAGGAACACCGGUGGCGAAGGCGGGUCUCUGGGCCGAUACUGACGCUGAGGAGCGAAAGCGUGGGGAGCAAACAGG